rnacentral:rRNA from 1 species
UACGAAGGGGGCUAGCGUUGCUCGGAAUCACUGGGCGUAAAGGGUGCGUAGGCGGGUCUUUAAGUCAGGGGGGAAAUCCUGGAGCUCAACUCCAGAACUGCCUUUGAUACUGAGGAUCUUGAGUAUGGGAGAGGUGGGUGGAACUGCGAGUGUAGAGGUGAAAUUCGUAGAUAUUCGGAAGAACACCAGUGGCGAAGGCGACACACUGGGCCAUUACUGGCGCUGAGGCGCGAAAGCGUGGGGAGCAAACAGG